GACAGAGGUGCCGAGCGUUAGGCGGAAUCACUGGGCUUAAAGCGUGUGUAGGCGGGCCGUUAAGUAUCUUGUGAAAUCCCCCGGCUCAACCGGGGAAUGGCUGGAUAUACUGGCGGUCUUGAGCGAUCUAGGGGCAGAUGGAACAAGUGGUGGAGCGGUGAAAUGCGUAGAUAUCACUUGGAACGCCGAAGGUGAAAACAGGUCGCUGGGGAUGUGCCGACGCUGAGACACGAAAGCCAGGGGAGCAAACGGG
rnacentral:rRNA from 1 species